rnacentral:rRNA from 1 species
UAGAGGAAGUAAAAGUYGUAACAAAGUUUCCGUAGGUGAACCUGCGGAAGGAUCAUUA